GACGAACGCUGGCGGCGUGCUUAACACAUGCAAGUCGAACGGAAAGGCCCUGCUUUUGUGGGGUGCUCGAGUGGCGAACGGGUGAGUAACACGUGAGUAACCUGCCCUUGACUUUGGGAUAACUUCAGGAAACUGGGGCUAAUACCGGAUAGGAGCUCCUGCUGCAUGGUGGGGGUUGGAAAGUUUCGGCGGUUGGGGAUGGACUCGCGGCUUAUCAGCUUGUUGGUGGGGUAGUGGCUUACCAAGGCUUUGACGGGUAGCCGGCCUGAGAGGGUGACCGGCCACAUUGGGACUGAGAUACGGCGCAGACUCCUACGGGAGGCAGCAGUGGGGAAUAUUGCACAAUGGGCGGAAGCCUGAUGCAGCAACGCCGCGUGCGGGAUGACGGCCUUCGGGUUGUAAACCGCUUUCGCCUGUGACGAAGCGUGAGUGACGGUAAUGGGUAAAGAAGCACCGGCUAACUACGUA
rnacentral:rRNA from 1 species